rnacentral:lncRNA from 1 species
UGCGAAUCAAUCACUAACGACCUGAUGCCCAGUGAUUUGUUGCUGUACAGUCGUACUUACAGUAAGGCAUCUUAAUUUGGCUAAAGUCUCCUGAUAAUACCAAAUGUGGGACAAACCCUCUUUCAUUCCGCUCUUCAGGAAAGUCACAUGAUAGCAAUCCAAAAGGGAAUGUUCAACCCAAAGCAAUUACCGGGGAAACAUUGGGAAAACCUGAAAUCAGUUACAUUAGCGGCACCUGUUCUUACUUGGGGGUCUCCAGCACUCACCAAAGCCGCGGCACAGCUUAUCUACAGGAAUCUGGAGCGGGUGGAAUCCAAGAGGGAACUGGAGAUUUUUCAGGACCAAAGCGGGGCCGGAGCGCUACUUGCUGAACUCUGGUUGGAGUAUAAGGGCAGAUCAGGGCCAUAAGAAUAAAAAAUAACAAGGUCUGGGGCUGUGCGUGUGCAUGUGUUUUGCACUGGCUGCAUAGGCUGGAUGCUCUGGCUGCACUGGGCUGGCUUCUUGUGUGGUCCCCCGGCAAACUUUAUGAUUUAUUCAGCUAAAGGCAGAGGAGCACGACCCCCAGUGACCACAGAGAGAGAGCUGCACGGAUUACGGGGAAAGGAGAAGACAGACAGAAAUCUACAUUUAACUGGUAUGUUUCGAACUGUUGUCUUACAACAAAUGAUGGGUUAUGUAUGUGUGUUGUUGUUCUUUUAUCACACAUUCUGCAAGCCUUCUCCAUCCCAGCCCCCCCCCAUGUCCUGUAGCCAGUGGGAGAUUUCACAGGCAUUAUUGAAAUGUGGACACUGA